rnacentral:lncRNA from 1 species
GUCCGAAUUGAACCACUAACCUUGUACAGCAACUCAGUCCCACUCAUUUGCCUAGACCCAGCAAUUUCAUAUCUCAAAUAACAUCCGUUUAGUUGUACUCUAACAGCAAUGGAGUGACCACAAAGCUUUUCGGAUAUUUCAGAGUCUUUUUUCACGCAGUUGGAAUUUGAGAGAUCGCCUAUUCAUUGAAAGAGCCCAUUAAUGGCGAAUUGGCUGUCUUCGGAUGUGGCUUUGUAAAAUUUUGCUGUGGAGAUUGGGAGAUUAAUGUGUCGAAGAGAAUUUUAAGCGUUUGCUUGAAAAUCCCAUUGAAAUCCUGGAAAUCUUGAUUUGCACAGCCUUUGUAAACCAAAUCCUCGUAACUUGAACAGGAUCCAAAGGUUGGUAUUGUUUGUUCAUCAUUGGGUGCCUAAUUUUCGUCUUAUAAUUGUGAAAUCCCACAAAAUACUAACCUCUUAUAAUAAUCAGAUUUGGAUCCUCUUAUAAUAAUCAGAUCUAGAGGGCAUCGGCUAUGGAUCUCGCCUCGUACAUUAACUCCAGCCCGUAUGUAGUACCUUGUUGGAGAUCAAAAUGGUGGGAAAAGGGAGGGAAAAGAGAGAGGAGAGAGAUUCGGCCAUCGCAGUGGCCAGGGAAGGUGGCAGGUGGUCGGUGGGAAAGAUGAAGAUUUACAGCUUUUAUGUUUUUCUUUUUCUAAUUUAAUUUUUAACUUAUUUUAAUAUAAUGAAUGGAAAGUUA